AGAGUACGAACGCCGGAGUCUCGCCCACCGGUGGCCGGUAAGCCGCUAGUGGUAUCAUGGAGGCAGCGUGCCCUCCCUUGGCGUCCGGGAAGUUUGUGGUGGUUGGCGGUGGCAUCGCGGGUGUCACCUGUGCUGAGCAGUUGGCUAUUCACUUUCCAUCAGAAGAUAUUCUCUUGGUAACAGCUUCUCCUGUAAUUAAAGCAGUUACAAAUUUCAAGCAGGUUUCGAAAGUAUUGGAGGAGUUUGAUGUUGAAGAGCAACCAAAUACCAUGUUAGAAAAUCGCUUUCCCAACAUUAAGGUUAUAGAAUCUGGAGUAAAGCAACUGAAGAGUAAAGAACAUUGCAUUUUAACAGGAGAUGGCAGUCAGCUUGUGUAUAAGAAACUCUGUCUGUGUGCUGGAGCUAAACCCAAAUUGAUAUGUGAAGGAAAUCCUUAUGUAUUAGGAAUCCGUGAUACAGACAGUGCUCAGGAAUUUCAGAAACAGCUUACUAAAGCUAAAAGAAUAAUGAUCGUAGGGAAUGGUGGCAUUGCACUUGAACUAGUGUAUGAAAUUGAAGGCUGUGAAGUCAUUUGGGCCAUUAAAGACAAAGCUAUUGGGAAUACUUUCUUUGAUGCAGGUGCAGCUGAAUUCUUGACUUCAAAGCUCAUUGCUGAAAAACCAGAAGCUAAAAUUGCACAUAAAAGAACCAGAUAUACAACUGAAGGAAGAAAAAAGGAAGCACAAACCAAAGGUGGUGCUGGCACUUUGGGGAGUGCCUUGGGGCCUGAUUGGCAUGAAGGCUUGAAUCUUAAAGGAACAAAAGAGUUUUCUCAUAAGAUUCACAUUGAAACUAUGUGUGAAGUAAAGAAAAUCUACCUUCAGGAAGAAUUUAGAAUUGCUAAGAAAAAGUCCUUGCCUUUUCCAAGAGACCAUCAUGAGCAGUCAGUCACAACUGAUACAGAGGCUUGGCCUGUAUAUGUGGAAUUGACCAAUGAAAAGAUUUAUGGCUGUGAUUUCAUUGUCAGCGCUACAGGAGUUACACCAAAUACAGAACCUUUUCUCUGUGGUAACAAUUUUGAUGUAGGAGAAGAUGGUGGCCUGAAAGUGGACGAUCACAUGCACACGUCUGUCUCUGAUAUCUAUGCGGCAGGUGAUGUCUGCACUGCAUCCUGGGAGCCCAGCCCAGUCUGGCAGCAGAUGAGGCUCUGGACCCAGGCUAGACAGAUGGGAUGGUACGCAGCCAAGUGCAUGGCUGCAGCUACUUUGGGACAUUCUAUUGACAUGGACUUCAGCUUUGAACUCUUUGCUCAUAUAACAAAAUUCUUUAACUAUAAGGUUGUACUGCUGGGAAAAUACAAUGCACAGGGCUUAGGUUCAGAUCAUGAAUUAAUGCUGAGAUGCACCAAAGGACAAGAAUAUGUCAAAGUCGUCAUGCAGAAUGGGCGCAUGAUGGGAGCGGUCUUAAUUGGUGAAACUGACUUAGAAGAAACAUUUGAAAACUUAAUUUUAAAUCAAAUGGAUCUUUCAUCAUAUGGAGAAGAUCUGCUGGAUCCAAAUAUUGAUUUAGAAGAUUAUUUUGACUAAAAAAAGCCUUUCAAGAUCUACAUACUGUUCCAAAUAAGGGAAAGUCACAAUAAGUCUGUGGUGUAAAAAUGGGAUCCAAAGAAGAUACCCCUCACCUCCUUUUCCUCAAUGAAGACCCAUAUGGUGAUGAAACCCAGAGUCCACAGAGUUCACUGCUUUCUCAUUGACCCUGGAGUUUGCAGGUAAAUCUCUCUUUAAGUCUGAGCUCCCGUCUCUCCAGUUUGAGUUGACUUUAGUCUGCAUGCCUGUAUUUUGUUUGUUGAAGCUUCUAGGUAAAUCAUCCUAUUCUACUCCAAAGGGAGGAGGGCAGGAAUACACAAGGUUCCCGGUGUUUCAGAACAGCUUUCAGAAAAUAGUGCUCCUCAUAGGAACUCUUAGGGAAUCUAAAGGAAAAGAUAUGUUCUACCUGGCUGUUCUAUGGAUCAGGAUUUUGUGCACUUUUGGAAAAUGUGUGAACUUAUACAAUUGUAGUGUUCACUGUAGGGUAACUUUAACUUAGAAAAGUGGAUUUUAAGCUGUGCCUUUGACAAGAGAGGAUUUCAAACCUCAGAGAUACUAGAAUGCAUUCUUUGAUAAGCAGAAGCUUCUAAAAGAUCCUUACAGCAUGCAAACAAACAAAACAAAACAAAACAAAAAAACACUUUGCUUUGCUAUCUGAGCAGGUAACCUCAACUUAGUCCAUCUCCCAGAAACACAAUUUGGAUCUAACUGUUCUUUUAUAAACUAAUGAGUUUUGAUUAUGGCUAUCAGCUCAUGCCUAAUUUUUUUUUAAAGAAAAGUUAUAAGAUCUGUUUGCCUCUGUCUGUAUGUUUGUCUAUUGAUGCAUGUUAUAGAUGUGUGAUAUUUUUCUAACUCCAGAUGAUAUUGCCAAAACUAAUGUGUAAGGAGCUCUAUUUAACUGGCUUAAAGAAAAAAUAAGUGCUUAUAAAUGAAGUACUCCUGAAACCCUCAGAAAUAUAAAAACUAACCCAAAUGUUUUCAAAUUCACAUGAUCUCAUAUAACAUUUGAUUAAAAA